rnacentral:rRNA from 1 species
AACCCUGGGGAUGCUUUCCAUGCAGUCGUACGAAAGUGUUAAAACUUUAGUGGCGGACGGGUGAGUAACAGAGAGAAAUUACCUUUAGGAGGGGAAUAACAGUUGGAAACGACUGCUAAUGCCGCAUAUCAUAACUAUGAAAGAAGAAAUUCGCCUAAAGAAAAGCUUGCGUCUGAUUAGCUAGUUGGUAAGGGUAAAGGCCUACCAAGGCGACGAUCAGUAGCUGGUUUGAGAGGACGACCAGUCACACUGGAACUGAGACACGGUCCAGACUCCUACGGGAGGCAGCAGUGGGGAAUUUUCUGCAAUGGGCGAAAGCCUGACAGAGCAAUACCGCGUGAGGGAAGAAAGCCCACAGGGUUGUAAACCUCUUUUGUCAAGGAAGAAGUUCUGACGUUACUUGACGAAUAAGCAUCGGCUAACUCCGUGCCAGCAGCCGCGGUAAGACGGGGGAUGCAAGUGUUAUCCGGAAUCACUGGGCGUAAAGCGUUUGUAGGUGGUUUAGUAAGUCUAUUAUUAAAGCUUGAAGCUUAACUUCAAAAAUGUAAUAGAAACAACUAGACUAGAGGAUAGUAGGGGUAAAGGGAAUUUCCAGUGGAGCGGGUGAAAAUGCGUAGAGAUUGGAAGGACCACCGAUGGCGAAGGCACUUUACUGGGCUAUUUCUGACACUAAGAGACGAAAGCUAGGGUAGCGAAAUGGGAUUAGAAUACCCCCAGUAGUCC